ensembl:lncRNA
CCCCUCUUCGUCCUCCAGUUACACCUCUCUCAAACCCAGAACAACCGCACUCGGUCCUCCAGGUACACCUCUCUCAAACCCAUAACAACCCCUCUUCGUCCUCCAGGUACACCUCUCUCAAACCCAUAACAACCCCUCUUCGUCCUCCAGGUACACCUCUCUCAAACCCAUAACAACCCCUCUUCGUCCUCCAGGUACACCUCUCUCAAACCCACAGCAGCUCUUCUCCUCUCUCCCAUCUCUCCCUCUAACUCUUUCAGUCCCACAGCUCUUCUCCUCUCUCCCAUCUCUCCCUCUAACUCUCUCAGUCCCACAGCUCUUCUCCUCUCUCCCAUCUCUCCCUCUAACUCUUUCAGUCCCACAGCUCUUCUCCUCUCUCCCAUCUCUCCCUCUAACUCUCUCAGUCCCACAGCUCUUCUCCUCUCUCCCAUCUCUCCCUCUAACUCUCUCAGUCCCACAGCUCUUCUCCUCUCUCCCAUCUCUCCCUCUAACUCUUUCAGUCCCACAGCUCUUCUCCUCUCUCCCAUCUCUCCC